UUCGGCCUUGCACUGGCCUCUCCAGUGCCCCCUUGCAAGUCGUCGCCGACGCAUUCCAAUUCGAAGUUGUGCGCGAUCCUAUCGCCUUCCCCGGCGCGGC
rnacentral:ncRNA from 1 species